GAGUUGCAGAGAGGUUGGCCUAUUGCAACUGGUUCAAGAGGCUUCAAGGGCUGAAUCCUUGCAGGCUGGAAGACGUGUUCAUUAACAGGAAUCUUAAAAGAUGCUUGCAGGGGAACUGAGAAGAGGAGCUGCAGUUUUGAAUGCUGACACUGUGAAGGGUUUUUGCAUGUGGUGGAGCAAGAACUCGUGAUUUGUGCAUGAAGACUUGCCAGUCUCCAGGAUGCAGGAUUGGUCCCCAACCUGUGGAACCCCACAAAGCAAACGGAUGCCACUCGGAUAAAGGAGAUGAGGCCUGGAUUGCUAUUGUCAAGUUACAYGCAGUGGCAAAACUCGAUGACWGGUGGACAUGUGAAGAGGCCUCUGUAUGAGACGUGUACGGACUUCUUCUCACCAUGACUCUCCUCCCUAUAUGUUAGGCUUUCUUAAAGUGGACUGAAGCUGAAGCGAGCUAUGGGGCACGGCUGCAGGGCUGCAGCGGUUCCACCACCUCCCAGCCCUUGUCCCCCAGUGUCCCCGAGCGAUGCCAGCCGCUCCCAAG